rnacentral:tRNA from 1 species
GUUUCCGUAGUGUAGUGGUCAUCACGCUCGCCUAACACGCGAGAGGUCCCUGGUUCGAAACCGGGCAGAAACA